rnacentral:snRNA from 1 species
AUCGCUUCUCGGCCUUUUGGCUAAGAUCAAGUGUGUAAUGUAUUAAUUAAUCAAUCUAUUUAUUUAAAAAAAAUAUAUGUAUUGAGGGUUGACCAUGUACAAGCCACCUUGC